rnacentral:miRNA from 1 species
UUCCAGCCAAUCAGCAGCAGACCCUCUCUCACAGACCCUCCCACCUCCUGGACAGCUCACUAAGAAUGCAGCUUCACAAUGAAUGUAAAAUGGAUGCUGUCCAGGAGGUGGGAGGGUCUGGGAGGGAGGGUCUGCUGCUGAUUGGCUGG